GAUUUUCAAGCGCAGCGCGGGAGCCUCCGCCGGCGCCUUCCGGAGACCCCCGGGGACACCCCCGUGGACGCCCCCCGGGACCUCCCGGUUCCCCCCCCGGCCCGUCCGCUGGCUGGGUCGGGGGCGCCGCCGCCCAGGCCCCCACAGGUCCCGCGGGACCAGGGCCGCAGCCCCUGAGGGUCUCGGCGGCCUUGGCGCGCGCGGGCCCCGGUUCGCCCGGGAACCGUUUAGGAUUGCGUGAGGAGCAGCGAUUGGAGCCCGCGGGCGCGAGAGGAUCCCCGGGCCGCGGCCCCGCCUCCCGAAAGCACCUCCUCCCAGCCGGGCCGCCGCCGGGCAGGGGGCUUAGCCAACGAGGUUGGUGCAAAGGCCUGGAAAACGCUCCUGGGUGCGGGGGAGGCGUUGCUGCGACCCUUUCGAUCCGUGUCCCUGCGGUGGGGGUGCAAGGGCCCCGAGGCCUGACAUUUUGGCGGGGUGGUCGGCGAGGACCCUACAGCCUAAAAGUUAGGGCCGCUGAGCCCCGUGGCUCGUUUUGCUGGGACAAGCGACCAGGCUUCUUACAGAUUCGGUGUCCCCGUGAGUAAAAUGGGACUCGUAACCGCGUGGACUGUUAAUGCGGUGAGGAGAGCGUUCGUUGAGAUGACUCAUGUAAAAUGUGCAGUCCUUUGUAAACCUUCAAACUACGGGACAUGGCGAGAAGGCCCUUGGUGCAGUUUUCCACAGAAAUCCUGUCUCCUGUCAGACCCCUGACCCCUAUUGUCACCCUUGCCUUAAGAAUUGCAAACUGUGGCUGGGCGCGGUGGCUCACGCCUGUAAUCCCAGCACUUUGGGAGGCCAAGGCAGGAGGAUUGUUUGAGGCCAGGAGCUGGAGACCAUCCUGGGCAACAUAGUGAGACCCCGCCUCUGCCAUUAAAAAGAGAAGAAAAAAAGUUGUUUUAAUUGCAAACUGAGCAAAAAUUCCUGGGAGAAAGUUCACAGAAUGAUUUUAGGACUAGGAAUUAAUGUACUACUCAUUGGGCGUCAAAUAUGCUGAAGAGGAGUUUGAAAACUCCACUGGUGUAGAGACUGGAACUUAGCAAUAGCUUUCAUUUAAUUUUCUAUGUGGCUUUCUGAUUUGCCAGGCCCUGCAACGGGCAAAAUGCCAAAAAUAAAGGAAGAGAAAGAAACUUUAAGAUCCAAGAAAGAAAUCAUUAACCUGAGAAAGCUUCAACAGCUGCGCUCAGGGCUGUUAUUGAGAGAGACCCGGGACUUUUUUUUUCACAAAGCCUUUUCUAGAUAAGAUACUUUAAAGAGGGUGGGGUGGGACAGGUACCCUCCCCACCUAGGUCUGUUUCUCUCAUUUCUUAAAAGUACUACGGACUUGUAAAUCAUAGUAUUCUCGUGUUGCAGGAAUAAGUGCCCAUCACAUUCCUUACACAAAGCCACAACUAAAACUUUGGUGUACCAUGAUUUGUUUAAAGCAACUCGCCAUUCAUCGCCAUUUUCACCCCAAACACACUAAAGCAUCCAUCUCCAGGAAACUGGUAUUUUUAUUGAUUACUUUAUGGCUGAUAAAGCUAUUAUCUAACAAAAUUAUAAUUUAUUGGUGUCAUCUCAUACUCAACUCAGAUUUCAAUUUCCCAUAAUCAGCGUCUAAAACCCUCGUUUCGGUUGCCCUAGGGCGCCACGUGCUUUUUUGCUCCUGUUAAACUCACUGUAACUGAAGUAGUCAGAGGUGGCUUCAUUGAUAGUUUAGUUCCUGGCCACGUAAUUAACAUAGCCAUUGUAGAAGACGCCGAAAGAUGCGUACGUGUUGUUAAAGGCCGGGUGAAGUCGCCAUCCUCCCCUCCCGCGCUAAACCUGAGUCAUCUCGGCGUGGCCCU
rnacentral:lncRNA from 10 species